GAUUCUGGCUCAGGACGAACGCUGGCGGCGUGCUUAACACAUGCAAGUCGAGCGGACUUCUACUGAAAGCUUGCUGGAUGUAGAAGUUAGCGGCGGACGGGUGAGUAACGCGUGAGCAACCUGUCCUCUACAGGGGGAUAAGAUCUCGAAAGGGAUUCUAAUACCGCAUAAGACCACACCGGGACAUCCCGGAGGGGUCAAAGGAGCAAUCCGGUAGAGGGUGGGCUCGCGUCCGAUUAGAUAGUUGGUGAGGUAACGGCCCACCAAGUCGACGAUCGGUAGCCGACCUAAGAGGGUGAUCGGCCACAUUGGGACUGAGACACGGCCCAAACUCCUACGGGAGGCAGCAGUAGGGAAUCUUCCGCAAUGGACGAAAGUCUGACGGAGCAACGCCGCGUGAGUGAAGAAGGUUUUCGGGAAUCGUAAAACUCUGUUGUCAGAGAAGAACAAGUUGGAGAGUAACUGCUCCAGCCUUGACGGUAUCUGACCAGAAAGCCACGGCUAACUACGUGCCAGCAGCAGC
rnacentral:rRNA from 1 species